rnacentral:rRNA from 1 species
UACAGAGGGUGCGAGCGUUGUCCGGAAUCACUGGGCGUAAAGGGCGCGUAGGUGGCUUGUUAAGCGUGUGGUGAAAGCCUGGGGCUCAACCCCAGGUCUGCCGUGCGUACUGGCGAGCUUGAGCAUAGUAGAGGCGGGUGGAAUUCCGGGUGUAGCGGUGGAAUGCGUAGAUAUCCGGAAGAACACCGGUGGCGAAGGCGGCCCGCUGGGCUAUUGCUGACACUGAGGCGCGACAGCGUGGGGAGCAAACAGG